rnacentral:rRNA from 1 species
GAGGAAUACACGAGUAAUCUACCUCUAAGUCGGAGAUAGCCUUGCGAAAGUGAGGGUAAUACCCGAUGUGUCCAUUUGGCGCAGGCUGAAAUGGGUAAAGACGGUCCGCAAGGAUUGUUGUUUAGAGCUGAGCUCGUGUCCUAUCAGCUAGUUGGUAGGGUAAUGGCCUACCAAGGCAUUGACGGGUAGCUGGCCUGAGAGGGUGGUCAGCCACAUGGGGACUGAGACACUGCCCCAACUCCUACGGGAGGCUGCAGUCGAGGAUCUUUAGCAAUGGGCGCAAGCCUGACUAUGCGACGCCGCGUGAGGGAUGAAGGAUUUCGGUUCGUAAACCUCUUUCGAUGGGAAAGAAACUCUGCAUUAACUGUGCAGACUGACGGUACCCAGAGAAGAAGCCACGGCCAACUCCGUGCCAGCAGCCGCGGUAAUACGGGGGUGGCGAGCGUUACUCGGAUUUAUUGGGUGUAAAGGGCAGGUAGGCGUUCCACCAAGUUGGAAGUGAAAUCCUAAGGCUCAACCUUAGAAUGCUUCCAAAACUGGCGGAAUUGAGGCUAGAAGAGGAGAGUGGAAUUCCCGGUGUAAGGGUGAAAUCUGUAGAUAUCGGGAGGAACACCAGUGGCGAAGGCGGUCUCCUGGUCUAGCUCUGACGCUAAGCUGGAGAAGCUAGGGGAGCAAACAGGAUUAGAUACCCUGGUAGUCCUAACCGUAAACGAUGAACACUAAGUGUGGAGGUAACCUUCAGCGCCUGUAAUGUUUAACACGUUAAGUGUCCCACCUGGGGACUACGACCUGCAUAGGGUUAAAACUCAAAGGAAUUGACGGGGGCCCGCACAACGGUGGAACAUGUGGUUCAAUUCGAUGCUACGCGAAGAACCUCACCAGGGCUUGACAUGCAGGAAGUAGGAAGCGGAAACGCGGACGACCUGUUAAGUCAGGAGCUUGCACAGGUGCUACAUGGCUGUCGUCAGCUCGUGUCGUGAGAUGUUGGGUUAAGUCCCGCAACGAGCGCAACCCUCGUCCUUAGUUGCAAUCCAGCUUAUGACCGCAAGGUCAUAAAAGGGAGCACUCUAAGGAGACUGCUCGCGAUAAGCGAGAGGAAGGUGGGGAUGACGUCAAGUCCGUAUGGCCUUUAUGCCUGGGCUACACACGUGUUACAAUGUCCACUACAAAGCGUUGCCAAACCGCGAGGUGGAGCUAAUCGCAAAAAAGUGGGCUCAGUUCAGAUUGGAGUCU